AGUGAACGCUGGCGGUAGGCCUAACACAUGCAAGUCGAACGGCAGCACAGUAGGAGCUUGCUCUUACGGGUGGCGAGUGGCGGACGGGUGAGGAAUACAUCGGAAUCUACUUUUUCGUGGGGGAUAACGUAGGGAAACUUACGCUAAUACCGCAUACGACCUACGGGUGAAAGCAGGGGAUCUUCGGACCUUGCGCGAUUGAAUGAGCCGAUGUCGGAUUAGCUAGUUGGCGGGGUAAAGGCCCACCAAGGCGACGAUCCGUAGCUGGUGUGAGAGGAUGGUCAGCGACACUGGAACUGAGACACGGUACAGACACCUACGGGAGGCAGCAGUGGGGAAUAUUGGACAAUGGGCGCAAGCCUGAUCCAGCCAUACCGCGUGGGUGAAGAAGGCCUUCGGGUUGUAAAGCCCUUUUGUUGGGAAAGAAAAGCAGCAGGUUAAUACCCCGCUGUGCUGACGGUACCCAAAGAAUAAGCACCGGCUAACUUCGU
rnacentral:rRNA from 1 species